GACGAACGCUGGCGGCGUGCCUAAUACAUGCAAGUCGAACGCAUUUUCUUUCACCGUAGCUUGCUACACCGAAAGAAAGUGAGUGGCGAACGGGUGAGUAACACGUGGGUAACCUGCCCAUCAGCGGGGGAUAACACUUGUAAACAGGUGCUAAUACCGCAUAAUUCCAUUUACCGCAUGGUAGAUGGAUGAAAGGCGCUUUUGCGUCACUGAUGGAUGGACCCGCGGUGCAUUAGCUAGUUGGUGGGGUAACGGCCUACCAAGGCUGCGAUGCAUAGCCGGCCUGGGAGGAUGAUCGGCCAACCUUGGACGGAAACACGGCCCAGACUCCUACGGGAGGCAGCAGUAGGGAAUCUUCGGCAAUGGACGGAAGUCUGAACGAGGAAAGCCGGGGGAGUGAAGAAGGUUUUCGGAUUGUAAAACUCUGUUGUUAGAGGAGAACAAGGAUGAGAGUGGAAAGUUCAUCCCUUGACGGUAUCUAACCAGAAAGCCACGGCUAACUACGUG
rnacentral:rRNA from 1 species